UAACACAUACAUCAAUGAGGGCAGCAUUUAAUUGUUCUGCCAAUAAACACAAAUAUGAGUUUUUGGAUUUAAAAUGAAAAUCAAAGUCUCAAGAAUAAUGUCAACCAUGGCCGUGUUAAUAGGAUGUAACCGAUCAUAACCCUAAAGGCAACACGUCAUAAGUUACUGGUCACUUCUAAAGAAAGUUUGUGUGUUUGUUGGUCUUAGAAAAGUUUGUGUGAUUGU